GAAGCUGACUAAACAGUCGCUGCCUGACUAAUCUAUUUUUAAUCAGCAUGGAAAAUUCAGGGAGAGGAAAGUCCGGGCUCCAUAGGGUAUGGUACCAGGUAACACCUGGGGAGCGUAAGCUAACGACUAGUGCAACAGAAAAAAAACCGCCUAUGACCAAUUAAAACAGGUUAGGCAAGGGUGAAAUGGUGCGGUAAGAGCGCACCACACAGCUGGUAACAGCAAGUGGUAUGGUAAACUCUACCCGGAGAAAGGCCAAAUAGGAGCUCAUUAAAUGCGACCCGUAUAGAGCUCGGGUGGGCUGCUUGAGCCAGUAAGUGAUUACUGGCCUAGAUGAAUGACUGUUCACGACAGAACCCGGCUUAUCGGUCAGCUUCUUUU
rnacentral:RNase_P_RNA from 1 species